rnacentral:lncRNA from 1 species
AACUUCAUUCUGAUUGGCUGUUGACAGAGGAGAGUUAGAUGCAAAAGAGUUAGCCGACAGAAACCAAUAGCUGAUGCUUAUUGUUGUUCGGAGUACGUUAGGUGCUUAAUGAGCUUUCCGGGGUGCAGUCCUGGGUGCAGAUCUCAUAUUCUUCAGGAGAGUGAGUUGUAGUUCUUCGGAGUUCGGAGUUACAGAGUCUGUUUCGCAGUCAAGAGUCAGGUGUAGUUCUUCGGAGUCAGGUUAGGUUCUUCACAGUCAGUUUACUUUAUUCUGCAGUCAGGAGUUAAAGAGUCUGUUUCACAGUCCUGAGGGAGGUUACGCAAUUAAGUUCUCGUUCAUCUAAACAAACUUGUGGUAGAGAAUAAGCAAGGUCAAUCAAGAAAUCCAAUAAAUACGAAAGUGUUUGGUUAGGCCCAACUUAACUAAAGAAUACGGCGCUAAGAGAGUUUGCCGUUGUGCACUUGAGUGGGCUUGGUGCAGUUAGGUUAGGGAUAGCAUAGAGAACAAGAAAAAGUCAUAAUUCUUUACGCAGAGCUAGUGGGCAAGCAAAGCGGGAGGGAAAAGUAUAGUUAUUCUAAAUAAUGAAGUACAGGUGCACGAACGGGAGCAGCUAUCGGGUCCGUUUCCGUUUCAUCAGUUGGUGUUAUCGAUGAGUCUGUUCGUCCAGGUUCUACUUUGAUCCUAUUGAAGAGUAGAAAAUAUGCUCUUUUCUCCGGCAAAUAGAAGAUAUACUCUUUUCUUUCUCUUGCCCAUCUAAACUGCCC